GGAGAUUUGGCUCAGCGGUAGAGCGCUUGCCUAGCAAGUACAAGGCCCUGGGUUCGGUCCCCAGCUCCG
rnacentral:tRNA from 1 species